AUGAUUGAAAACCUCUGUCCAAUUCUCUCUUGGAAUGUUCGGGGCCUGAAUUCGCCAGCAAGAAGAGCCGCCGUCGCUGAAAUUGCUGUUUGUCAUCGCCUUGGUAUUCUAUGUCUACAAGAAACAAAAAUCUCCACCUGGACUGCUGAUUUGGCCAAAGAAGUUGGAGGUGCAAAGCUCAUAGACUGUGUUGUGCUGCCUGCUCUAGAGACUAGAGGAGGUGCUGCCAUCUUCUGGGACCCUGAUGUUGUGGAGAUCAACUCCCAUGCAAUUGGACAAUUUGCUAUAACAGCUCAAGUUAGACUCAAAGCUUUGGGCAAACCCUUCUGGUUGACUACC
rnacentral:rRNA from 1 species